CUCUUUCCAUGUCUUUCUCCCUUCUGCGUGUGAGGACUCUGUGACAGCUUUUCCUGCUGCUUGUAGCGAACGGCUGAAAGGGAGUGAACACGCGGCUGCUUGUAAUACAGAGUCAAACUGAGGCAAACGCAUACACUGCUGAACGGUCAUUGGACAGGACUGUGAAGACUCUUCUUGGUUUUGGCUGUGUAGCAUACUCAUGCAGACAGUCCUGGAUUAAAGAAGUCUGAUGCUGUAGGAGAACAGCUUUGAGAUUUAUAUGUGUGUAUAGACGAAGACCCAAGAUAUUCUGAGGACACAAGGCCAUAACCAGAGUGAGAAGCUUGACCCAU